UACAGAGGGUGCAAGCGUUAUCCGGAUUUAUUGGGCGUAAAGCGUUUCGUAGGCGGUUUGGAAAGUUAUCCUUCAAAGACCACGGCUUAACCGCGGGAAGGGGGGUAAUACUGCCAGACUUGAAAUAUGGUGGGGUAUCUGGAACUGAUGGUGUAGUAGUGAAAUACGUUGAUAUCAUCAGGAACUCCGAGGGCGAAGGCAGGAUACUAACCAUUUUUUGACGCUGAGGAACGACAGCUAGGGGAGCGAA
rnacentral:rRNA from 1 species